rnacentral:rRNA from 1 species
UUCGUGUGAACAGUGGUUGAUCACGAGUUAGUCGGUCCUAAGUUCAAGGCGAAAGCCGAAAAUUUUCAAGUAAAAAGUUGUAAUAUAUUUAAAGUUGUCAUAUAAAACACUUGAAUAAUUUUGAACGAAAGGGAAUACGGUUCCAAUUCCGUAACCUGUUGAGUAUCCGUUUGUUAUUAAAUAUGGGCCUUGUGCUCAUCCUGGCAACAGGAACGACCAUAAAGAAGCCGUCGAGAGAUAUCGGAAGAGUUUUCUUUUCUGUUUUAUAGCCGUACUACCAUGGAAGUCUUUCGCAGAGAGAUAUGGUAGAUGGGCUAGAAGAGCAUGACAUAUACUGUUGUGUCGAUAUUUUCUCCUCGGACCUUGAAAAUUUAUGGUGGGGAUACGCAAACUUCUCAACAGGCCGUACCAAUAUCCGCAGCUGGUCUCCAAGGUGAAGAGUCUCUAGUCGAUAGAAUA